rnacentral:rRNA from 1 species
UACGUAGGGUGCGAGCGUUGUCCGGAAUUAUUGGGCGUAAAGAGCUCGUAGGCGGUCUGUCGCGUCGGUCGUGAAAACUUGGGGCUUAACCCUGAGCUUGCGGUCGAUACGGGCAUGACUGGAGUUCGGCAGGGGAGACUGGAAUUCCUGGUGUAGCGGUGAAAUGCGCAGAUAUCAGGAGGAACACCGGUGGCGAAGUCGGCUUGCUGGGCCAGUUCUGACGCUGAGGAGCGAAAGCCAGGGGAGCGAACGGG